rnacentral:rRNA from 1 species
UAAUUAAAGUCUUAUUGAAUGUAAUAAAGUAAGAGAUUAAAUAUAUUAAUUUAAUAAAAAUAAUUUUAUUGGGUAAUUAAGUUUUUGUAAUUUAUAAUGAUAAAAUUUUAAAGAUGAUAGCAAAAAGUAUUGUGAAAGAAUGAUGAAAGAUUUGAAAAUUUAUUUUAUUAAAAGUAGAUUUAUUUAAUUUUACCUUGUGUAUCAGGGUUUAUCAAAAUUUUUCUAAUUAAUUUAGUUUUCCCGAGUUGAAGAGAGCUAGUUUAAUUUGUUAUUUAAUGUUGAAUAAUUAUUAAAAAAGUUAAAACUGGUAAUGAAAUGUUAUUCGUUCUUCAAGAUAUCUGGUUUUUUCAGAAAUGAAUUUAAUUCAGCUUUUAAAUAUAUUAAUAGCGUAAUUGAUCACGUGAAUAUGAUUGAAAAGUAAUAAUUUGAGGGAUAAGCUUUGAAUUAAAGUGUUAAAAUGAAAUUAAAUAUACAUGAAAUAUAGGCUUGAGAGUAGCUAUUAUUGUGAAAUAGUGUUAUAACUUAUUAUUAAUAAGGUUAUUAUUUUUUAAUAUUUAGCUUUUUAUGAAAAUUUUAGGAUUAAUAAUGGACUCUAGUUUAAUAAUGAUGAAAUUAGUAUAAAAAUUGUGUACACUUAAUAUUUAAUGGAGAGUUUACAUUAAGGAAUUAGGCAAAUUAAUUAGUGCUUGCCUGUUUAACAAAAACAUGGUUUCAUGAGAAAAAAUUUGAAAUCUGACCUGCCCACUGAAAAAUUUAAAGGGCCGCGGUAUUUUGACCGUGCAAAGGUAGCAUAAUCAUUAGUCUUUUAAUUGAAGGCUAGAAUGAAUGGUUGGACAAGGUACUAACUGUCUCAAUGUGAAGGUGAUUAGAAUUUAACUUUUAAGUUAAAAGGCUUAAAUAAUUUUAUGGGACGAGAAGACCCUAUAGAGCUUUAUAGAAAAUUUUAAAUUAAUUAUUUAGAAAAAUUAUAGAUAAUUUGAGGUUUUUUAUUUUAUUGGGGUGAUAGGAAGAUAAAAUAAACUCUUUUUAGUUUAUGGGACAUAGAUUAAUGAGUUAAUUGAUCCAUUGUUAGUGAUUAUAAGAUUGAGUUACCUUAGGGAUAACAGCGUAAUCUUUUUUGAGAGUUCAUAUCGACAAAAAGGAUUGCGACCUCGAUGUUGGAUUAAGAUAAAGUUUGGGCGCAGGAGUUCAAUAUUUUAGGUCUGUUCGACCUUUAAAUUCUUACAUGAUCUGAGUUCAGACCGGCGUAAGCCAGGUCGGUUUCUAUCUUUAAAUUUUUCAGAUGUUUUAGUACGAAAGGACCAAAUAUCUAAAAUAUUUUUUAUUAAUAUGAUAAGUAGUAAUU